rnacentral:piRNA from 1 species
UAAGAGUGCAAGGGAGUCAUUUAGUGGG